UCUCCAGUAGUUGGCUGUUUUCAGUAUUCAUAAUCAUACGAUUUGAUAAUCGAUGAUGAGAAUUACCAGCCAUUUUGUUUUGGAAAUUUGUUUUGGAAAUUUGAAUAAUGAAAUCUCCAGUAGUUGGCUGCUUUCAGUUUCAGACCGUUUUUUCAUGAUUAUCUUUACCAUCUUCUCUCUUUCCAAUAACUCUAGAAGCCUGACUUUCCGAUCAUGGUCUCCAUUCAGAGCAAUUCGUCAUUUAAUGGCGAUACAAGCCUAACUAUCCAAUUUCUUUGCCAUUCGCCAUCAUCAAAAUUUCAGAAAGGAACUCUCCCACUAUUUGUUCAAGCCCUCUAUGGCCUCUCGUCACCGAAUAAGAGUCGAGAUUACUUUUUGGAUCACACCUCACCUUUGAUUUUUCAACAUCCUCGUUCCCUCAUCUAGAAUGGAGAAAGCCAUCAUUGUGGUUGGUUGGUUGAGCAUAUUGAUUUGUUCAAUUGCUCAGAUUCAUGGUGAUACCCUCGUGCCUUACUCUUCUGAAGAGUGCUAUCCCUAAAGGAGCAGUUUGUCUUGAUGGGAGCGCUCCUGCUUACUCUUAUGUUGAGGGAUCUGGAAACGGAUCUCACAGUUGGAUGGUGUAUCUGCAACCUGGUGGAUGGUGUUACUCACUAGCCGAAUUUUACAAUAGAUCACUGACACCUUUUGGAAGUAGUAAAUGGAUGCAGCCUCAAACCAUCUUUUCGGACAUAAUGGAUUCAAAUUGCAUAUCUUAUCCAGAUUUCUGCACUUGGCACAAGGUUUACCUUCAUUCAUUAUUGUGAUGGUUCAUCAUUUAUGUCAGAUAUAUUGCACUCAAAGUCGAACCUCUCAUUUCGAGGUGCAAGGAUUUUUAAUGUUAUGAUGGAGGAAAUGCUUGGUAAAGGAAUGAGAAAAGCCAAGGAAGCUAUACUCGUUGGGAGCUCUGCAGGUGGACUAGCUACUAUGCUCCAUUGCGAUAAGUUCCGAAAUCUCUUUCCCAAUACUAGCCGGGUUAAGUGCAUUUCUGACUCCGGUUUUUUCCUUCAUGGGAAGGAUUUGCAUGCACACAUAAUAAGGGAACAAUAUUACAGUGGUGUGGUAAAAACACAUGUAUUCUGCUACACUUUUCUACUUUAUAUACUUCUUACCAAGAAAACUCCAUAUGUUUUAGAAUGAUAGGGAACCUCCUCAUAAUUACAUAUUCUGUUAAAUUUAGAUGUAAUGUCUUCUGAUUUUGUUGGUGCAUAAAACUUUAUUACCUUGAAUGUUAACAUGAAUUUUUGCAAGGUUUAAUGUUGGCAUAUCAUAAUUGCAAUAAUUUUUUUCUGUGGCUGAAGGAGUUGGCCAAUGCUUUGCACUUCUAAGAUGAAUCCAAAUUUGUGUUUGUUUCCUGAAUAUUUUACUGGGGAUAUUCAGACACCGGUCUUUGUACUAGAAUCAGCUUUCGAUAGUUUUCAGGUUCUAUACGUGGUAGGAUUCACUAGUUGCGCUCGUAACUUGAACUUAUCGACCUGCAACUCUACUGAAAUAGAACUCAUGAGAGAAUUUCGAAAGACAUUCAUAGAAACAUUAGUUGGACUGAAGAACUCUCUUAGCAGAGGUGUGUUGGUUCACUCUUGCUAUCGUCAUGGCCACUUCCCAGAUUCUCAAACGAGUAUUUCUCUUGCAAAUAAAACAAUCAGGGAAGCCAUUAUAGAUUGGUACUAUGAUCGAAGUUCCAUUCGAGAAGUAGACAUUCAACACGAGUCACCGCAAGAUUGUUCCAUUCAUUCCUCUGUUCCGAUGUCGUUGAACAAGCACUCUACAUCAUUGCCUCAUAGUAAUACAUUGAGUUUUAUUCUCUUCUCUUCUUUUUGUAUUCCUACUCGGGGUGGGAAUUCCGAUAUCCAUGGGUACCCGACCCGAAAAAACCGGGUACCCAAACCCAAAAUUUGUCUAAAAGGCACACCCAAUACCCGACCUGAUUUGUUUUUCGGGUAUCUAAAUAUUCGACUCUUUACAAUUAAUAAAAAGAAAAAAAUGAAAAAUGUAUUAAAUUUUUUAAAGCUAAAA